rnacentral:rRNA from 1 species
GACGAACGCUGGCGGCGUGCCUAAUACAUGCAAGUCGAACGCUGAAGGAGGAGCUUGCUUCUCUGGAUGAGUUGCGAACGGGUGAGUAACGCGUAGGUAACCUGCCUGGUAGCGGGGGAUAACUAUUAGAAACGAUAGCUAAUACCGCAUAAGAGUAGAUGUUGCAUGACAUUUGCUUAAAAGGUGCAAUUGCAUCACUACCAGAUGGACCUGCGUUGUAUUAGCUAGUUGGUGGGGUAACGGCUCACCAAGGCGACGAUACAUAGCCGACCUGAGAGGGGGGUCGGCCACACUGGGACUGAGACACGGCCCAGACUCCUACGGGAGGCAGCAGUAGGGAAUCUUCGGCAAUGGACGGAAGUCUGACCGAGCAACGCCGCGUGAGUGAAGAAGGUUUUCGGAUCGUAAAGCUCUGUUGUAAGAGAAGAACGAGUGUGAGAGUGGAAAGUUCACACUGUGACGGUAUCUUACCAGAAAGGGACGGCUAACUACGUG